rnacentral:rRNA from 1 species
GAACGCACUUUUCGGAGUGAGUGGCAGACGGGUGAGUAACGCGUGGGAAUCUACCUAUUUCUACGGAAUAACGCAGAGAAAUUUGUGCUAAUACCGUAUACGUCCUUCGGGAGAAAGAUUUAUCGGAGAUAGAUGAGCCCGCGUUGGAUUAGCUAGUUGGUGAGGUAAUGGCCCACCAAGGCGACGAUCCAUAGCUGGUCUGAGAGGAUGACCAGCCACAUUGGGACUGAGACACGGCCCAG